rnacentral:rRNA from 1 species
ACUAAGCGUACACGGUGGAUGCCCUGGCAGUCAGAGGCGAUGAAGGACGUGCUAAUCUGCGAUAAGCGUCGGUAAGGUGAUAUGAACCGUUAUAACCGGCGAUUUCCGAAUGGGGAAACCCAGUGUGAUUCGUCACACUAUCAUUAACUGAAUCCAUAGGUUAAUGAGGCGAACCGGGGGAACUGAAACAUCUAAGUACCCCGAGGAAAAGAAAUCAACCGAGAUUCCCCCAGUAGCGGCGAGCGAACGGGGAGGAGCCCAGAGCCUGAAUCAGUGUGUGUGUUAGUGGAAGCGUCUGGAAAGGCGCGCGAUACAGGGUGACAGCCCCGUACACAAAAAUGCACAUACUGUGAGCUCGAUGAGUAGGGCGGGACACGUGGUAUCCUGUCUGAAUAUGGGGGGACCAUCCUCCAAGGCUAAAUACUCCUGACUGACCGAUAGUGAACCAGUACCGUGAGGGAAAGGCGAAAAGAACCCCGGCGAGGGGAGUGAAAAAGAACCUGAAACCGUGUACGUACAAGCAGUGGGAGCCUCUUUAUGGGGUGACUGCGUACCUUUUGUAUAAUGGGUCAGCGACUUAUAUUCUGUAGCAAGGUUAACCGAAUAGGGGAGCCGAAGGGAAACCGAGUCUUAACUGGGCGUUAAGUUGCAGGGUAUAGACCCGAAACCCGGUGAUCUAGCCAUGGGCAGGUUGAAGGUUGGGUAACACUAACUGGAGGACCGAACCGACUAAUGUUGAAAAAUUAGCGGAUGACUUGUGGCUGGGGGUGAAAGGCCAAUCAAACCGGGAGAUAGCUGGUUCUCCCCGAAAGCUAUUUAGGUAGCGCCUCGUGAAUUCAUCUCCGGGGGUAGAGCACUGUUUCGGCAAGGGGGUCAUCCCGACUUACCAACCCGAUGCAAACUGCGAAUACCGGAGAAUGUUAUCACGGGAGACACACGGCGGGUGCUAACGUCCGUCGUGAAGAGGGAAACAACCCAGACCGCCAGCUAAGGUCCCAAAGUCAUGGUUAAGUGGGAAACGAUGUGGGAAGGCCCAGACAGCCAGGAUGUUGGCUUAGAAGCAGCCAUCAUUUAAAGAAAGCGUAAUAGCUCACUGGUCGAGUCGGCCUGCGCGGAAGAUGUAACGGGGCUAAACCAUGCACCGAAGCUGCGGCAGCGACACUAUGUGUUGUUGGGUAGGGGAGCGUUCUGUAAGCCUGUGAAGGUGUACUGUGAGGUAUGCUGGAGGUAUCAGAAGUGCGAAUGCUGACAUAAGUAACGAUAAAGCGGGUGAAAAGCCCGCUCGCCGGAAGACCAAGGGUUCCUGUCCAACGUUAAUCGGGGCAGGGUGAGUCGACCCCUAAGGCGAGGCCGAAAGGCGUAGUCGAUGGGAAACAGGUUAAUAUUCCUGUACUUGGUGUUACUGCGAAGGGGGGACGGAGAAGGCUAUGUUGGCCGGGCGACGGUUGUCCCGGUUUAAGCGUGUAGGCUGGUUUUCCAGGCAAAUCCGGAAAAUCAAGGCUGAGGCGUGAUGACGAGGCACUACGGUGCUGAAGCAACAAAUGCCCUGCUUCCAGGAAAAGCCUCUAAGCAUCAGGUAACAUCAAAUCGUACCCCAAACCGACACAGGUGGUCAGGUAGAGAAUACCAAGGCGCUUGAGAGAACUCGGGUGAAGGAACUAGGCAAAAUGGUGCCGUAACUUCGGGAGAAGGCACGCUGAUAUGUAGGUGAAGCGACUUGCUCGUGGAGCUGAAAUCAGUCGAAGAUACCAGCUGGCUGCAACUGUUUAUUAAAAACACAGCACUGUGCAAACACGAAAGUGGACGUAUACGGUGUGACGCCUGCCCGGUGCCGGAAGGUUAAUUGAUGGGGUUAGCGGUAACGCGAAGCUCUUGAUCGAAGCCCCGGUAAACGGCGGCCGUAACUAUAACGGUCCUAAGGUAGCGAAAUUCCUUGUCGGGUAAGUUCCGACCUGCACGAAUGGCGUAAUGAUGGCCAGGCUGUCUCCACCCGAGACUCAGUGAAAUUGAACUCGCUGUGAAGAUGCAGUGUACCCGCGGCAAGACGGAAAGACCCCGUGAACCUUUACUAUAGCUUGACACUGAACAUUGAGCCUUGAUGUGUAGGAUAGGUGGGAGGCUUUGAAGUGUGGACGCCAGUCUGCAUGGAGCCGGCCUUGAAAUACCACCCUUUAAUGUUUGAUGUUCUAACGUUGGCCCCUGACCGGGGUUGCGGACAGUGUCUGGUGGGUAGUUUGACUGGGGCGGUCUCCUCCUAAAGAGUAACGGAGGAGCACGAAGGUUGGCUAAUCCUGGUCGGACAUCAGGAGGUUAGUGCAAUGGCAUAAGCCAGCUUGACUGCGAGCGUGACGGCGCGAGCAGGUGCGAAAGCAGGUCAUAGUGAUCCGGUGGUUCUGAAUGGAAGGGCCAUCGCUCAACGGAUAAAAGGUACUCCGGGGAUAACAGGCUGAUACCGCCCAAGAGUUCAUAUCGACGGCGGUGUUUGGCACCUCGAUGUCGGCUCAUCACAUCCUGGGGCUGAAGUAGGUCCCAAGGGUAUGGCUGUUCGCCAUUUAAAGUGGUACGCGAGCUGGGUUUAGAACGUCGUGAGACAGUUCGGUCCCUAUCUGCCGUGGGCGCUGGAGAACUGAGGGGGGCUGCUCCUAGUACGAGAGGACCGGAGUGGACGCAUCACUGGUGUUCGGGUUGUCAUGCCAAUGGCACUGCCCGGUAGCUAAAUGCGGAAGAGAUAAGUGCUGAAAGCAUCUAAGCACGAAACUUGCCCCGAGAUGAGUUCUCCCUGACUCCUUGAGAGUCCUGAAGGAACGUUGAAGACGACGACGUUGAUAGGCCGGGUGUGUAAGCGCAGCGAUGCGUUGAGCUAACCGGUACUAAUGAACCGUGAGGCUUAACC